UGCUAUUGAGGUAUUUUCUUGUUGUUUAUGCGAGGUAAAGAAGUUGCAACAUAGCUUCUUUUUUAUUCUGAAAUCGAGAAGACUGCAAAGGCGAACAGGAAAGCAGUACGGUUAGCACGGUUAGCUGAGAACGAGCUGGCUGAAGUAUCAAAAGGAAUUCCAUCAGACACAGGUUCUCAGUUUGAAGAAGAAGGCACGAUGGCCGAUGACCCACCACCGCCGCCUAGGCGUACCAUGGGAGACUAUUGUCGCAGAACAGAUGUAGGACAAAUUU
rnacentral:lncRNA from 1 species